GUGUGCGCAGGGGCGCAUGUCUCCUGGUCUCUACGCUCACGUCUGCUGACGUCAGGCACCUGCGAGGCCCUACACGUGCGCAAACACCCCUCCCGGGGUCUGUGGGCCUGCAAGAGCACCAGCUGACCCCCUCUGAGGGCCGACCUGCACCCGGUACCGUGCUGCCCGCUGCGGGGAGGAUUUCUGUCCGUCUCCACAGCAAGCCCAGGAGGAAGCCUUCCUGGAUUCCUCCACGCAGAUGUGGUGUCCACCUCCAGACCCUUAUCUCUCACUCUACACACACCUCUCCUGCUGGCUACCAGGGCCCUGCUUGGGUUUGAGCUCUCAUGACCUGCUCGUCACCUUACCUGGGAGAGGGGAUCUGUGUCCAGGGAAGAAAGAGAGGCCUUCCUGCAGGAGGCUGUCCUUGUGUUUUGCACUGAGUUGGCGACUUGCUGUAGAUCAGUGGACGUUGUGAGGGUCAGCGUCGGAGUCGUAGCGCACAAACACGCCGAAGAGGACCACCAGGGCCACCUGCAGGAGCAAGCAGGUGACUGGCAGCCGCCAGCGGAGAUUGGUGUUCCAGACCAUGCUGCGGGGGGCGCCUGGCGGGGAGGGCAGCAAGCAGUUCGGACUGACGCUCGCAGGCGGGAGAGGCUUAUAAGACCCGGGCAGGGGCGGGGCGGCCGCGUCGGGUGGCGGAACA